GAUGAACGCUAGCGGCAGGCCUAAUACAUGCAAGUCGAGGGGUAACAUGAGAGCUUGCUCUUGAUGACGACCGGCGCACGGGUGCGUAACGCGUAUGCAACCUACCCACAACUGGAGCAUAGCCCGGAGAAAUCCGGAUUAAUACUCCAUAAUGCAGGGGUACCUCCUGGUACUAUUUGCUAAAGAUUUAUCGGUUGUGGAUGGGCAUGCGUCUGAUUAGUUAGUUGGUGAGGUAACGGCUCACCAAGACCACGAUCAGUAGGGGGUCUGAGAGGAUGAUCCCCCACACUGGCACUGAGAUACGGGCCAGACUCCUACGGGAGGCAGCAGUAGGGAAUAUUGGGCAAUGGGCGAAAGCCUGACCCAGCCAUGCCGCGUGAAGGAUGAAGGCCUUUCUGGGUUGUAAACUUCUUUAUAUAGGAAGAAAAGGUCAUGCGUGACCAAUUGACGGUACUAUAUGAAUAAGCACCGGCUAA
rnacentral:rRNA from 1 species